UAAAGAUGAAAAUCAAAAUCAUCAUAGGAGAGGCAAAUUUUGUAAUUCUCCUUGUUCAUCCAAUACACAAAUAAAAUUAGGGUUUAUAUUUGAUUUGAUUGAUUUUUUCUGGGUUUUAAUUUUCUGUUCAUGUGCUUGUUUUUCUUUUGCAUAAUUUCUCUGAAGGUAUUUGAAGGAAGUAGAAGAUUGGUGAUAAUAAUGAGGCCAGUAUUUUGUGGGAGUUUUGAUUAUGAGACACGUCAAUCUGAUCUUGAACGCCUCUUCUCUAAGUUUGGGACUGUUUUUAGAGUUGACAUGAAAUCUGGGAUUGUACCGAAUGCAGUAAUUGGAAGAGAUUUGGUGGUUAAUGAGCUUAUCAAAAGUUCCAGAUGAGAGAGGGGUUGAUGGCUGAAAAUUGACAGAAAUAUCAGAAAGUAAAGAAGCUUCUUUUUCCAGUAGUUCUCACAACGCACGGAGUGGAUCACAUGCAAGCAUCGAGAAGCUUCAAAACCUUCAGUUUCUUCAAGAAGAUUAUGCAGAUCUUGAAAUGUUCUCUGAAGAGGACGAACCUCUUAUUCCUAGUAAAUUAAAUUAGAAAUAUCUAAUCUAAUCUAAAAUCUAAAACUCAAUUUUUGCGGGUGCGGGUGAAUCCGCGGAUUUCAAUGUCCAACCGCAACCAAAUCGCUAAACCUUGCGGAUUUGAAAACGCAACCGUGUCCAAUCCAUAGACUCUUGCGGAUUGGUUUUCAUCCGCAAUUUUGCGGACAAUUGCGGGUGAAAACCACGGUUUCGGUUUUUCUGCACACCCUUAAUGUAUAUAAUCAUGCUGUGGUCGAAUGUCUUAUAGUAUAUUCAUGCUCUGGUGUUCUGCUCUACUAUUUGAGUUUAUCUCAUCAGGGUCAUAAUCUAAACUCUUUCAAACUGUUGACUGGUUGUUCUUUACAUCUAUGCCCCUGCAAAGUUUUCUGAGCUGCAAAUACAGUCAUAUCUUAAGACUGUUGCUUAUCAUCGAGAGAUAGAUGAGGUGCAGAAAGCUGCUGCUGGAAGGGGUGCAGACUUCGCGGAUCUGAUGAGAAAGUGUUAUUUACAGGGAAAGGUAUCUCUUUGUUCCAUCUGGAGCUGGUGCAGUUGCCUCUUGACCAGGAGAAUGGGAUACUGAAAUGAAAUGGAUUGCCUACAUCGAGUUUUCUGAUGUCCAAGCUUUCAACAAAGCAAGCCUGCAAAGGAUAUAAUGAACUAGUUGCGGUUAUUUGAAUGAUGCUCUAUUUCAUUAGAAAGAGUGAAGAACAAAGGAGCUUCAAGAUUUGUAAGUUCCAUGUAUUCAAGUUUUGUAGGCAGUUAGUAAGUUCGUAUGUGUUCCCUAAGAAAUUUGGAACCUUCCAUGUAUUUUUUUAGAAAUUUGAAACUUAACAAAAAAAUAAAAGUUUGGU